GACGAACGCUGGCGGCGUGCUUAACACAUGCAAGUCGAACGGAAAGGCCCCCAUCUUGGUGCGGGUGCUCGAGUGGCGAACGGGUGAGUAACACGUGGGUGAUCUGCCUUGUACUUCGGGAUAAGCUUGGGAAACUGGGUCUAAUACCGGAUAGGAUCUUGGUUUAGUGUCUCAUGGAGGAAAGAUUAUUGUUUUGGUCCAGGAUGAGCUCGCGGCCUACCCGUUUGUUGGUGGGGUAAUGGCCUACCAAGGCGUCGACGGGUAGCUGGCCUGCGAGGGUGGACGGUGACAUUGGGACAGGGUCACGGCCCAGACUGGUGCGGGAAGCAGGAGUGGGGCAUAUUGCACAAUGAGCGCAAGCCUGAUGCGGCGAGGGAGCGUGGGGGGUGACGGCAUUCGAAUUGUAAGCUCUUUGCGUUGGGGACGAGGCCACGUUUUUUGGGUGUGGUGACGGUAACUUUAUUAGGAAGCACCGGCUAACUACGUG
rnacentral:rRNA from 1 species